AUUGAACGCUGGCGGCAUGCCUUACACAUGCAAGUCGAACGGGAUUGAGGGGCUUGCUCCUCAAUUUAGUGGCGAACGGGUGAGUAAAGCAUCGGAACGUACCCAGGAGUGGGGGAUAACGUAGCGAAAGUUACGCUAAUACCGCAUAUUCUGUGAGCAGGAAAGCAGGGGAUCGCAAGACCUUGCGCUGAUUGAGCGGCGGAUGUCAGAUUAGCUAGUUGGUGAGGUAAAAGCUCACCAAGGCGACGAUCUGUAGCGGGUCUGAGAGGAUGUGCAGCCACACUGGAACUGAGACAAGGACAAGACGACUACGGGAGGAAGCAGUGGGGAAAUUUGGACAAUGGGGGCAACCCGGAUCCAGCCAUGCCGGGUGUGUGAAGAAGGGCUUCGGGUAGUAAAGCUAUUACGGACGGGAAGUAAUCGUGACAGCUAAGACCUGGUGCGGAUGACGGUACCGGCAUAAGAAGCACCGGCUAACUGCGUGCCAGCAGCCGCGGUAAGAC
rnacentral:rRNA from 1 species